UUGAUCCUGGCUCAGGAUGAACGCUGGCGGUCUGCUUAACACAUGCAAGUCGGACGCAACCUUCGGGUUGAGUGGCGGACGGGUGAGUAACGCGUGAGAAUCUGCCUUGGGGUCGGGGACAACCACUGGAAACGGUGGCUAAUACCGGAUAAGCCUUUGGGUAAAAAAUUUAUUGCCCCAAGAGGAGCUCGCGUCUGAUUAGCUAGUUGGUGAGGUAAGAGCUCACCAAGGCAGCGAUCAGUAGCUGGUCUGAGAGGACGAUCAGCCACACUGGGACUGAGACACGGCCCAGACUCCUACGGGAGGCAGCAGUGGGGAAUUUUCCGCAAUGGGCGAAAGCCUGACGGAGCAAGACCGCGUGAGGGAGGAAGGCUCUUGGGUUGUAAACCUCUUUUCUCAGGGAAGAAGCUCUGACGGUACCUGAGGAAUCAGCCUCGGCUAACUCCGUGCCAGCAGCCGCGGUAAUACGGAGGAGGCAAGCGUUAUCCGGAAUUAUUGGGCGUAAAGCGUCCGCAGGUGGCGAUUCAAGUCUGCUGUCAAAGCACGGGGCUUAACUCCGUUAAGGCAGUGGAAACUGAAUAGCUAGAGUGCCGUAGGGGUAGAGGGAAUUCCCGGUGUAGCGGUGAAAUGCGUAGAGAUCGGGAAGAACAUCGGUGGCGAAAGCGCUCUACUGGACGGCAACUGACACUCAGGGACGAAAGCUAGGGGAGCGAAUGGGAUUAGAUACCCCAGUAGUCCUAGCUGUAACCGAUGGAUACUAGGUGUGGCUUGUAUCGACCCGAGCUGUGCCGAAGCUAACGCGUUAAGUAUCCCGACUGGGGAGUACGCACGCAAGUGUGAAACUCAAAGGAAUUGACGGGGGCCCGCACAAGCGGGUGGAGUAUGUGGUUUAAUUCGAUGCAACGCGAAGAACCUUACCAGGGCAUGACAUGUCCGGAAUCCCGGUGAAAGCUGG
rnacentral:rRNA from 1 species